CAGCCGCCACGGUAAUACGUAGGUGGCAAGCGUUGUCCGGAAUUAUUGGGCGUAAAGGGCUCGCAGGCGGUUUCUUAAGUUUGAUGUGAAAGCCCCCGGCUCAACCGGGGAGGGUCAUUGGAAACUGGGAAGCUUGAGUGCAGAAGAGGAGAGUGGAAUUCCACGUGUAGCGGUGAAAUGCGUAGAGAUGUGGAGGAACACCAGUGGCGAAGGCGACUCUCUGGUCUGUAACUGACGCUGAGGAGCGAAAGCGUGGGGAGCGAACAGGAUUAGAUACCCGGGUAGUCCCUGUCUCUUAUAC
rnacentral:rRNA from 1 species